rnacentral:rRNA from 1 species
UACGGGGGGGGGCAAGCGUUGUUCGGAAUUACUGGGCGUAAAGGGCUUGUAGGUGGCCAACUAAGUCAGACGUGAAAUCCCUCGGCUUAACCGGGGAACUGCGUCUGAUACUGGAUGGCUUGAGUGUGGGAGAGGGAUGCGGAAUUCCAGGUGUAGCGGUGAAAUGCGUAGAUAUCUGGAGGAAUACCGGUGGCGAAGGCGGCAUCCUGGACCGGCAUUGACGCUGAUGAGCGAAAGCCAGGGGAGCAAACGGG